UGCUCCAUACACUUGGACACGGAGAUGCUGUGGUUUUACAUAAGACAUCAUUAUAACGCUGCGGCAGAGGCGUACGUGAAGACAGCGAUCGCGGACAGUGUGUUCUGGACAUUGGACGGCUCGGUCAGCGCCCUUUCUCCGAACACUCACUCUCCGCCGGCGCCAUGUAAACGCUGCUAUCAGCUACUGGCCUAUGAUAUUUUACUCAACUCGGCGCAGCUGCAUCCCGUGGUGAUAAGUGUACAUAACGAAAGCGAAGUUUUUAGUGACUGUCAACAGCCACGUUAUAUCUUACGGAAACAAGCGCUUCUCAACGAGAUGGUAGAUAUAAUACUUGACAAGCCAACCAGAACUCCCAUGUUUAGUGACCUGAGGCCGUUGUGCAAUGAGGGAAGCGCUCGGUGGUCUAACUCGAAAGACUGCCGUCACACGCUCAGGGAACGAGCGGGUGAUCUCGUAUGGAAACCCAACGCCACGUAUUGCAGUCAAGGCCUUUUAAUUGGGCAGUUGGUGCCGGCCAAGCAAACUUGGAAAUCAAUGGGCGUUUGGAUAAGCGACGGAGUCUCAAGUACAGAAUUUCGACAACAAGAAAAUACCUUUUCGAGACGGAAAAUCCUUCUUCACAUAAAGUCUCCCCACAUGAUGUCUGUAGCUUAGUUCAGGGAGAUGGCUUGUCCCGUGUGGCUCCUGUUACGAUAGACAGUCCUGUUACUGGCCCAAAGCUGUUUGGCAGCCUUACGAUUGCCGUUACAUGGACUUGAAUAAAAAAAAUAUACAAGCAUGUCUCGCUGGUCGAACGAUACUAUUUCAAGGCGACUCGAUUUUACGAGGAAUUUUCGACUACAUGCAUGGCGCCCUUAAAUUGAAGAAAGGAACCGGCAAUGCGUCUGGUCAACACAUCUACGUGACUACGUCCAAUAAAGGGAAGAAGGUUGCCAUGCAGUACAGCCGAAUAUUGGCGUAUGAAGAAGACGACGUGGUGGACAUACCAAGAUACUUCAAUAGCGAGUUUGACAAGCUGCUGUCGACAGGCGGAAAGAUAGAAAAUACGAAGAAUACCAUUUUCGCAUUAGGUGGCGCAUACUGGAUGCAACCUGCAAUAUAUAAAUGGUUCAUGGGCAGGUUAGACAAUGCUGGAUUGACAAAUGUUACUGUUGUGAUAAAAAUGGACAAUGCUGCUCUGCAUCACCCACAGAUAAAGACACCUUCCUUAUGGGAUCCAGUUCGUCAUCUGAAAAGAAAUCUAGCCGUCGCCCAUAUUAUCGAGUCGGAGAAACAGAGGUCUCAAAACGUAAAGCUUGUUAACCCAAUCAAUAUUACGAUGCCCAUGUUCCAAGGUUUUCACGAUGGCGGAUUCUGCUCUUGUCAUUUUCAUAAGUAUCACCUUAACGCCACAUAUGCCGUAGAUGGACACGUCCAGAAGAUGUAUAUUAAACCAUUCUUCCACACGUUGUGCCUUGGAGAAACAGAUAGGAGGAGUUAACGAAUGUCUGAAACCGUAUAUGUACGCACUUGCUCAAUGUUUAACUGAUUACUGGAGUUUUCCCCCAACUGUCUUAAACAAGCUAAAAUUAUACCUACUUACAAAUCUGAAUCACUUAAUACCCCGUUAAAUUACAGAUCUAUUUCCCUUCUCUCUCCAUUCUCGAAAAUUCUUGAGAAAUGUCUCUAUAUAAUAUGUUUGAUAAGUUCCUAACCAAAUGUAAUAUACUUUCACAAAAUCAGUUUGGGUU
rnacentral:misc_RNA from 1 species